rnacentral:rRNA from 1 species
AGUGAACGCUGGCGGUAGGCCUAACACAUGCAAGUCGAACGGCAGCACAGUAAGAGCUUGCUCUUACGGGUGGCGAGUGGCGGACGGGUGAGGAAUACAUCGGAAUCUACUUUUUCGUGGGGGAUAACGUAGGGAAACUUACGCUAAUACCGCAUACGACCUACGGGUGAAAGCAGGGGAUCUUCGGACCUUGCGCGAUUGAAUGAGCCGAUGUCGGAUUAGCUAGUUGGCGGGGUAAAGGCCCACCAAGGCGACGAUCCGUAGCUGGUCUGAGAGGAUGAUCAGCCACACUGGAACUGAGACACGGUCCAGACUCCUACGGGAGGCAGCAGUGGGGAAUAUUGGACAAUGGGCGCAAGCCUGAUCCAGCCAUACCGCGUGGGUGAAGAAGGCUUCGGGUUGUAAAGCCCUUUUGUUGGGAAAGAAAAGCAGCAGGUUAAUACCCCGCUGUUCUGACGGUACCCAAAGAAUAAGCACCGGCUAACUUCGUG